AGAGCUUGCUCUCGGGUGACGAGUGGCGGACGGGUGAGUAAUGUCUGGGAAACUGCCCGAUGGAGGGGGAUAACUACUGGAAACGGUAGCUAAUACCGCAUAACGUCUUCGGACCAAAGUGGGGGACCUUCGGGCCUCACACCAUCGGAUGUGCCCAGAUGGGAUUAGCUAGUAGGUGGGGUAACGGCUCACCUAGGCGACGAUCCCUAGCUGGUCUGAGAGGAUGACCAGCCACACUGGAACUGAGACACGGUCCAGACUCCUACGGGAGGCAGCAGUGGGGAAUAUUGCACAAUGGGCGCAAGCCUGAUGCAGCCAUGCCGCGUGUAUGAAGAAGGCCUUCGGGUUGUAAAGUACUUUCAGUGGGGAGGAAGGCGAUGAAGUUAAUAACUUCGUCGAUUGACGUUACCCGCAGAAGAAGCACCGGCUAACUCCGUGCCAGCCGCCGCGGUAAUUCGUCGUGACU
rnacentral:rRNA from 1 species